rnacentral:rRNA from 1 species
UCAGGCCUAACCAUGCAAGUCGAGCGCGCCCUUCGGGGUGAGCGGCGGACGGGUUAGUAACGCGUGGGAAUAUACCCUUUGGUACGGAAUAGCCUCUGGAAACGGAGAGUAAUACCGUAUGUGCCCUUCGGGGGAAAGAUUUAUCGCCAAAGGAUUAGCCCGCGUUAGAUUAGGUAGUUGGUGGGGUAAUGGCCUACCAAGCCUACGAUCUAUAGCUGGUUUUAGAGGAUGAUCAGCAACACUGGGACUGAGACACGGCCCAGACUCCUACGGGAGGCAGCAGUGGGGAAUCUUGGACAAUGGGGGCAACCCUGAUCCAGCCAUGCCGCGUGAGUGAUGAAGGCCUUAGGGUCGUAAAGCUCUUUCGCCUGUGAAGAUAAUGACGGUAGCAGGUAAAGAAACCCCGGCUAACUCCGUGCCAGCAGCCGCGGUAAUACGGAGGGGGUUAGCGUUGUUCGGAAUUACUGGGCGUAAAGCGCACGUAGGCGGAUCGGAAAGUUGGGGGUGAAAUCCCGGGGCUCAACCCCGGAACUGCCUCCAAAACUAUCGGUCUAGAGUUCGAGAGAGGUGAGUGGAAUUCCGAGUGUAGAGGUGAAAUUCGUAGAUAUUCGGAGGAACACCAGUGGCGAAGGCGGCUCACUGGCUCGAUACUGACGCUGAGGUGCGAAAGUGUGGGGAGCAAACAGGAUUAGAUACCCUG